rnacentral:tRNA from 1 species
GCCCGCUUGGCGGAAUUGGUAGACGCAAGCGACUUAAAAUCGCUCGACUCAUGUCGUGCCGGUUCGAUUCCGGCAGCGGGCACCA